UAAAUAAACUGGGGGUGCCGGAAAGGCCGGCUGAGAUAAAGGACCUAUUAAUUCUUUGACCCUUUAACCUGAUCUGGAUAAUACCAGCGUAGGGAAGUUGCAGCGUGUUAGU
rnacentral:ncRNA from 1 species